UGCCUAAUACAUGCAAGUCGAACGGUGACGAUUUUGUAGCAAUACGAAUGAAAUCAUAGUGGCGAACGGGUGAGUAACGCGUUGGUGAUCUGCCUCGAAGUGUGGAAUAACUUCCCGAAAGGGUAGCUAAUACCGCAUAGUCUCUCAAGGUUUAGAAAAUUGAGAGUAAAGGAUUUAUUCGCUUCGAGAGGAGCCUGCGUCCCAUCAGCUAGUUGGUAGGGUAAUAGCCUACCAAGGCAAUGACGGGUAGGGGACCUGAGAGGGUGGUCCCCCACAAUGGAACUGAAACACGGUCCAUACACCUACGGGUGGCAGCAGUAGGGAAUAUUAGAAAUGGGCGAAAGCCUGAUCUAGCAACACCGCGUGUGCGAUGAAGGCCUUCGGGUUGUAAAGCACUUUUUGGAGGGAAUAGGAAGGAAGGUACCUCCAGAAUAAGUCUCGGCUAACUACGUGCCAGCAGCCGCGGUAACACGUAGGAGGCAAACGUUAUCCGGAUUCACUGGGCGUAAAGCGCGUGUAGGUGGUUCUGUAAGUAGGGCGUGAAAGCUCCCGGCUCAACUGGGAGAGGCCGUACUAAACUGCAGAGCUAGAGGAUGGUAGAGGGAGGUGGAAUUCCAGGUGUAGUGGUGAAAUGCGCAGAUAUCUGGAGGAACACCAGUGGCGAAGGCGGCCUCCUGGACCAUUCCUGACACUCAGACGCGAAAGCUAGGGUAGCAAACGGAAUUAGAGACUCCGGUAGUCCUAGCCCUAAACGGAUGCAGACUAGGCGUCGGCGGUUUAAUCACCGUCGGUGUCCAAGCUAACGCGAUAAGUCUGCCGCCUGAGGACUACGGCCGCAAGGCUAAAACUCAAAGGAAUUGACGGGUCCCCGCACAAGCAGCGGAGCGUGUGGUUUAAUUCGAUGCUCCGCGAAGAACCUUACCUGGGUUUGACAUAACAGUGGUAGAGAAGUGAAAACGGAUCGACCCUUCGGGGAGCUGUUACAGGUGUUGCAUGCCUGUCGUCAGCUCGUGUCGUGAGAUGUUCGGUUAAGUCCGCUAACGAGCGCAACCCGCGCUGUGUGUUACAAGUGUCACACAGUACCGCCGGUAUUAAGUCGGAGGAAGGUGCGGAUGACGUCAAGUCAGCAUGACCUUUAUAUCCAGGGCUACACACACGCUACAAUGGUCAGAACAAUAGGUUGCCAAGCCGCAAGGCGGAGCCAAUCCUCCAAAUCUGGCCUCAGUUCAGAUUGCAGGCUGCAACUCGCCUGCAUGAAGUCGGAGUUGCUAGUAACCGCAGGUCAGCAUACUGCGGUGAAUACGUUCCCGGGGAUUGCACACACCGCCCGUCAAG
rnacentral:rRNA from 1 species